rnacentral:lncRNA from 1 species
GUGUUUGACAACUAUUUUGUUUGUUUGGCAUUCCAAUACGACAUUCCUUGUUUCUACGAAUGAGAGCCCUCCAUUUCCAAGAUGGUAGUAUGGUGGGCACAUCCAAUCAUAUACUUUGUUUGCUUGCGCCUACAUCACAACAAUGGUGUUUCUUUCACCAUCUCCUCAUAUCAAAUUCCAAAUGCAUCUCCGCCAUCGAACCCUCCCUUUCUCUUUUCUUCUCAUGCAACUUCUCUCCAACAACCAUGCGUCCAACAAUCAUCUCCGCUUCUCUUACCACAACUAUCUAACAUUAGCCUAUCUAUAUAACACAAUGCAUGUUAGAGAAAGCACGGUUGACGAAGACCCUCCAUCUAAUUAGAUAUGCUUCUUAUCUUUCUUUAUUUUUUAACAAAUUCUGCUUCAGAUUCUACUCCUCUUUCUCUUUUAAAAAUAGAGGAAAAAAGUUCAGCUAAGAUGAAUCGUAAUGGCAAGAAACCAUUUCCAUACCCUAUAAUCCGGCAAGAGACGGUAUAAAGAUAGUAGUCCGCUUCAGUUCAGCCCAGGUUGGUUUCCUUCCAAUCAACGAGCUCGGAUGUCGGAUCCAGCAGUCCGCACUCAUCCGACACACGGGCCAAAAUUCGCAAACCGCGCCAAGCGCCCACGCGCGCGGCGAGGGACGAUAACUCGUACCUCCGGAACACCAAAAAACCCCAGCGGAACACGCAACGCGCGGGCGGGCGGGCGCUCCCCCGAAACCGGCAGCCCCGCCGCUGGUUUUGGCUCUCCUCCCAAAGCCGCGGGCGCCUUCCGCUGUCGUAAACCAUCGCGCUCCCCCUCCUCCCCCCCUACCGCCGAACGCCACCCCCUUCCCGAGCCCGUUUCCCAUGCAUUAAAUUUGCGUUUCCUGUGCAAGCCAAGGCGAGAAACUGUUUUGGACCAGACCUUAGUUGUUCCUUUCUCUCUUCUUAUAUAUAUUCUCUCGCCAUCCAUCCAACUCUUUUCUCUAAGUCUCUUUGUACCGUCAGGCAAAGACUCGUCCUUUUCGUUUCCCUUUCCACUGCCACCGGUCUUUUUCCUCUGUGGCGGGACGAUCGGGUUUCAAAACCCGGGGUUUUUCGGCGAGAGAACCGGGUUUCUGGGGGAGGGAUGGCGGGCGGGGAGCGGGCGGGGACGCCGCCGGCUGAACGGCGGUGCAACCGAAGCGACGGCAAGUCGUGGCGGUGCAAGAACUGGAAGAAGGAAGGCGUGAGCCUCUGCGAGGCUCAUUACGAGCAGCUGGUCAAGAAAAGUAGGGUUAGGGUUUCGUCGAGGGAUGGGGAGAGCGGGGACGGGCGGAGCGGCCGGCGGAGGAAGAGGAGUGAUGAUAAGAUAUUCCGGCCGCCGGCGGCUGUGGUUGGGGGAAUGUUCAUUGGAAGGGAUAUCCAGAUGAGGGAAAGGAAGCCGGUGAAGCUGAUGGUCGUGGACGACUUCGGAAGCGACGAGGAGGACGAGGAAGACGGACUCGCGAAGGUGAGAGAGCGAUUUCUUGCAGUUAAUCUGCGAUCUUUUCGUGGUUUUUCGGCGCAAAAUUCGAUCUUUUUUGUUUUCCUUUGCUUUCUUUAUCUUUUUCGGUUCUGGCGAGCUUUAGGGGCGACUUCUUGCAAUGUUUCAAGGUUUUUCUCUUGCUUUAUUGGAGAAAGAUUUGAUCCUUCCCGUUUUCGUUUCUUGCUGUUUUCGGUCUGGAGAAGGCAAGGAGCGAUUUCUUGCAGGCUUUCGAAAUUUAUCGACUGUUUUCUCGUACAAAAAUUUAUCUUUUUGUUUUUUUAACAUACGGUGGUGUGAUGAGGAUUAGGGCGACGAAGAAGAGGAAGAAGACAAGGUUUUGAAGGUGGGGAAGAAGCGAAAGAGGAGGCAUUGGAAGAAGGAGGGUAGGAAGGGGAGAAAGGCCAAGAAGGAGGAUUUGGAAGCCGGGUCCUCUUCUGUUGCUAGGGUUACGAGGAACUCCAACAAGGUUUCAGGUCCUGAGAAAAAUUCUGAGGUAAUAAAUUCUCUCCCCUUUUGGUUGGGCGCACGACUUCAUCCCUUUGGUUUGGUUGAAUGCAGUUAAUUGAUGGUAUGUAUCUUCCUGUUUUAGGGUUCUAAGAGGAAGCCACUGACAGGGGAGGAUGCCCUAAUGUGCCACCAAUGCCAAAGGAAUGAUAAGGGAAGGGUAGUAUGGUGUUUGAAGUGCAAAAGGAAACGCUUUUGUGUACCGUGCAUGACUCGCUGGUGAGUGAUGAUCCUUUCCCCUUCCUUCUUUAUCUAUUCAUUCUUCUUGUAAAUGUAUGUUUUCUUCUGUAGGUUUUAACCUUUAAAAGCUCUUCAUCCCACUUUUACUAUAAACCUCAAUAUUUCUCUUUUGCUCUUUUGCUAUUCCAUGUUUCAUCUGUUUCUUUUUUUAAGCAUAGGAGUUUCAUCUUCUUCUAUAAACUCUAAUCACUUUCUUUCUGAUAGGGCUGAAUUGUUGAAAUGUGUAAAUUUUAUCCUGUUAUAAUUUGCAUCAUUAAGGAAUAUUUUCUAUUCUUCCAAAUUGUACUGUUUUUUUGACUGUUUAGAAGAUUGUAUGGAGUUAGCUGAUAGAUAUCUUUUUGCUGCAGUAGUGAGAUAUUCAGUAUUUCAUAGCAUAAAGUGAAAAUUGCAAGCUUGAAAAUAUAGAUGUUGUAUUAUGUUUAUGCAUUCUCCUUUUUGAUUUUUAUCAGGUAUCCUCAUUUAUCAGAGGCUGAAUUUGCAAAAGAAUGCCCAUUUUGCUGCAACAAUUGCAAUUGCAAGGCAUGCUUGCGUAUGAAAGGAGUUUCUGAGGUCUGCUUUUGGUAUUUGGAAUUCUUGAUCGUUGUUGCAUUCAGUUCUCUACUUAUGUAAUCGUAUCUGAUGACACACUCUCUAUGUUGACUUUAGCCUCCUAAAAAAAAGAUUAUGAAUGCUGACCGAGUCCAAUACAACUGCUAUAUUGUACGCUUAUUGCUGCCAUGGUUGAAAGAACUACGACGAGAACAGAUGGCAGAAAAGGAAAUUGAGGCCAAUAUUCGAGGUAUCAUUGCCGUAAAUUGGAUUUUAAGUUGUAUACCUUUCCAUCCAUUAUCUUUCAUCUGAUCUUUCUCCCCUGCUGCUGCAUUUUUCUCCCGACCAGGUUUGGCAUCGACUGAGAUAAAGUUAAGAAGAGCUAACUGUCAAAAGGAUGAACGCGUAUACUGGUAAAACUCUUUUGCUCAUCAAGGUUUUUUAAAACCAUAGAUCUCGGCCAUCUUGUUGGAUGGCCAGUGCCGAUCUGAACCUACAUUGUGGUUUCUCUUGGCCAAAAUGGGACACUUGGAAAAAUAUAUGAGGUUUGGAUAUUUCCAUAUCUUGGCUGAUACUAUGGAACUUAGAUAUCUAAAUAUUGGCCAAUACUGGUAAAUCCAUGAUUACAUACUAUUCUUAUUGCAUAAACUUAAAUGUUUAAUAAUUAAAAAUGCGUAAUGCUUGGGGCCCUUGUCGGAUGGACAUGAAGAGUUCUUCCUGCCACGUGGCUUGAGGGGAUUGGCAUGAUUCUCAGGAAUUUGCAUGAUGUGCAGAAGUGGAUUAGAUUUUAAGUUGCCAAACUAGCAGUAGGUGGGCCUGAAGAACUUUCCAUGUACACUAACAUAUUCCACAAAAGCAUUUAUGUUAAAUGUUAAUUUAAGAUUGUAAAGAUUGAUUAGGAAAUUUCAUCUGCGAUAUCAGUUAUAUAGUAUCGUUGAGCCUUUAAUACUUCCUCUCUGAUUUCCCCACUGUGGAAACUUUGCUCUUCAUAAGUAGUAGGCUCUGCCUGUGGUUAGGUUAAGCCUUAUAAAACCUGAUUUCUGAAAUUGUUUUGGAGCAGCAACAAUUGCAGAACCUCUAUUGUUGAUUUCCAUAGAAGCUGCCGUCGCUGUUCAUAUGACUUAUGCCUUAGUUGCUGCCGGGAGCUACGUGAAGGUCGCAUACCUGGUGGUGAUGGGACAGUAAUUUUGCCAUAUCCAGACAGGGGUAAAGAUUAUGUGCAUGGGGGUUCUCCUCGUCGUAUGAAUAAAGGUCAAGGGAAGAGGAAAAAAAGUCAAGAGAGUUCUUUAGACAAUCGGGUCGCUAUCUCUAGAGAUAGCAUGGCUCGUAUGAGAGAAUGGAAAGCAAAUAGUGAUGGCAGUGUUCCUUGCCCGCCAAAGGAGAUUGGGGGCUGCGGUAGCUCCCUCUUGGAGCUGAAGUGCAUGUUUCCUGAAAAGUUGCUUUCUCAGUUAGAGGAGAAAGCUGAUGCAAUUGCUAGGAGCAAUAAGUUUGCAAAAUUUGGGGACAUGUCCAGGUCAUGUUCCUGUUUCACUGCAUCUGGCAAUAUUAACACUGGGAGUGAAAUGUUGCGGAAAGCAGCCUGUAGGGAGAAUUCUGAUGAUAAUUAUUUAUAUUGUCCAACUGCUAGAGAUAUUCAACAGGGAGAACUGAAGCACUUCCAAAACCACUGGUUAAAGGGAGAACCGGUGAUUGUACGUGAUGUACUUGAGCUUACUUCUGGCCUGAGCUGGGAGCCAAUGGUUAUGUGGCGUGCAUUACGAGAGAAGACAAAGUCUAAGGCUUCAUCUGAGCAGCUUGCAGUAAAGGCAAUUGAUUGUUUGGAUUGGUGUGAGGUUAGUUUUGAUAUCUCAUAGAUGUUUUUGAUGUUAGGAGAUGUUUCUAAAGAAGUUUCAUUGAAUACACACGACUUUGGUCUUGUCCUUGUUCUAUUAAAAGAGUUGUAGAAUUGUAGAACGGUGCAUAUGUUUUUUAAUAUAUUUUCUUUGCAUCUCGACUUACAGAGCUUUCCAAACUUCUUAAUCAUGUAUAUGUAAUUGACUCAUCCUUAGUUGAAUGACAAUUUGUGCCAUUGUGUUAAGCAUGAGCUAAAACUGCUAUGGUUGUAAAAUCUACUCACAGUGAAGUAUAUUUUGAGCAGUGUAUGAAUUUUGUUGAUUAAUUUAAAUCCUAGAAAACAUUUGAAUGAAUUCUGAAGGAAUGUUAUUUGGUAAUGCUCCAUUCAGAUGGAAAUGUACAUGUACUUAUUGCAGUAAAGAAUCUUUGAAGAAACUUUUGUGGAUAUGCGGUUGCAAUUGUCUGCAGUUAAGGAAUGUGUGCUCCUUGGUUGUUCAUUGUUUACAUAGGAUAAAAUGGCCUAUCUGAUGACUAUCAUGCAAGCAGGCAGUUGCCUAUGUCUAUUUUUGAGAGCCAUGUAUUCCUUUGUUUGAUGUGUUUUUAUCAUCCUGUAUAAUUUUUCAUCAGUCUAAUGUAAGGAAAUGUGUUGGCAGACUUGCCUACUGCAUGCCGGUGUUUUAUGCUAUCUGUCUAACUUGAGAAUCCCUGAUGCGUAUGUUGUCUGUUGUAGGUUGAGAUAAAUAUUCACCAGUUUUUCAGAGGAUAUACUGAGGGGCGAACUCACAGCAAUCAAUGGCCUGAGAUGCUAAAACUCAAGGAUUGGCCUCCAGCCAGUGCCUUUGAGGAUCGGUUACCUCGCCAUGGUGCUGAGUUUAUAACUGCUUUGCCAUUCCCAGAAUAUACAGAUCCUAGGUAUGGUCCUCUGAAUCUUGCAGUGAAGCUGCCUAAGGAUGUUCUAAAGCCAGACCUGGGGCCCAAAACAUAUAUUGCUUAUGGUCUUCACCAAGAGUUGGGCAGGGGUGAUUCCGUAACGAAGCUUCAUUGUGAUAUGUCUGAUGCGGUAUGUAUUUUGUUUCAAUAAUUAAUAUCAUGUCCAUCUGUGGCUCUAUUUUUGGUAAGUUGAUAUAAGUAACCUCAUGUUGAUAAUUGACAUUUGGUUUUCUGUAUGAGGUGAAUACAUAUAUAGCCUAACUCAACCACAUGUUUGCACAAUAGUCUCAAAAUCUGAUUUCAGAGCUUUUAAGGAUACAUUAGUGCCCCUGGCUUUACUGAUUUGAUAUCCCCUGACAGGUUAUGCUCCUGCAGUAUUAAACAUUUUACUUUUUUUGUUUUUUGUUGGGAAAGUGUUGAAAAGCUAAACCAGAAACAUCUGUUUGUUGUGACCAUCAUUUUUUGGUGUCUAUUGUUUUUGGCUAUCAUCUCUUGAUCUCCGGAAUGACCUACAAAAUCAUGGGCUCUAAUUAUUGAAUUUAAUGAUUAGAUUUUCUGCUUGCUGUUCUUUAAUAUUAUUAGUACAUUAGAUUAAACUUUUUCCCAUUACGUUUGUUGUUGAGCCUGUGUUCUAGAUAAUUUCACUAGUUUUUGUCUCGCAUAUUACUCCAUUUUAAUCAGGAAAUUUUUUUAAUGCCUGAUAUUUAAUUGCUUACCCAGGUGAAUGUCUUAACACACACAGCAGAGGUGACCCUUUCUGAUUAUCAGCUUUCUAAGAUAGAGAAGUUGAAAAAGAAGCACAGGGAUCAAGAUUUAAGAGAACAGAUUUUUACCACACGAAAAGAUCCAGAAGAGAACUCAUCGUCAUCUCCAGGGAAAUCUGUAAUGGAACCUCCUGAUGAUAAGUCAUAUGUCACCUUAACUGCUGGGGAAAAAGACUUCAUGCAAACGUCCAAUUUAGAAAAUGACCUUCAUCAUCCUGUUCAAGCCAACAAUAUGCUAUGCAAUGAUUCUUUUGGGGAGCAAAAAAUAAAUUCUCUCUCUCUAGCUGAAUCUCAUGUGAAAGAUUCAGAUAUUAAGAUUGGGGAUGCAAUGGAUGUUCAGAAAGAUGCUGAUGCAAGCUUUUUUGACAUUGAAGCUGAAAUAGUUGUUACACAUGAUGAACAAGAGGGACAAAAUGGUUGUUUAUCAAAUAACCAAAAGCUUGCUCAGAAUGAAGAUUUGAAAGGACGUCAAACAACUGAAGAUGAUAGUCAAGCAGAUGAUGGAAUUUGUCCGAAGCUUUCUGUGAACAAGUCUGUUCUGGAAAGCAUCAAGUUGCAUGCAUCAGCUAGUGAAUUGGAAGAGAAGAAAGUGGGUCAAAUGGCUUCUUCUAAUUUGAAUGAUGAAGGAGCUCUUAAAAGUCAAGCGAUGGGUCAGGUGAAUAUAUGCCAAAAUGAAAUCCCGCAUUCUGCAAAAAUCUGUGAUGAUCUAAAAGAGACUGUGGAAGCUCAUGCUAAGGAUCCAUCAGUGAUUAAAUCCACAUCCGAUUUGGUUGGCAUUCAGUCAUGUGCUGUUGCUGAUGGAGAAUUUCCUAUAUCUGAAUCCUCCUUGAAAGAAACUGGUCAGUCGCAGAUAUUGGCUGUGAUAAAUGCUGGAAAUGGAGUUCGGGAGGAAGGAUCUGAUCAGGAUACUGGUGUCAAAGCUGAAGCAGGUAAUGAUGCUUGCCAAACUGAGCUGCAUGGUAAUGGCAAUUGCCCUCCAUGUGCUGUUAAAACUGAAAGCAAUGGAGUCUCUUGCUCUGAAGGAGUCGAUCAAGGAGAUGAUGCUAGUCAGUUUUCCAGUAAAACUGAAAAUGAUGAAGUGCGUAAUUCAAAUGUUAAGGAUGAUGAUGAAAUGCUUGUGGUUAAGACAAAACGAGGUCAAAAGAAGAGGGGCAAGCCUGCUGAUCUUGGAAAGAAGCCGGGCAAGGUAGUACCUGGUCAAACUUCAGGGGAAAUUCGGAGCGAGGGAGGAACUGUGAUGCUAUCUCCUAAUCUCUUACCAGAAAACAAAUCUGGUAAUGAUGUGGAGAUGCAAGCUGAGAGUAACAAUCAUAAAGUUUCUGAAGGGCCAGAUGAGAGAACAAAAAAAAGAGGUAGGAAGAAAAAGAGGGGGAGAAAGGCUUCCUUUUCUGGUCAACGAAUGAAAAGAGAACUUGAUUCUAUUACUGUCAGCACUGAAACCACUGAAGAUCCUGAUGGUUGUCGAGUGGGGGAAGUUUCAGAUUCAAAAAAUGGUGCAGAGGUGAAGGAACCUGGAGGUUCAGAUAAUGUAAGAGAGCACCAACCUGCUGUGUCUGGUGAUAGUGUAGAGCAAAAAGAGCAGAAGCAGCCAGAAGGUGGGGCUUUGUGGGAUAUUUUUCGAAGAGAAGAUGUUACAAAACUACGGGAAUAUCUUAAAAAAACAUGCUAGAGAGUUCAGGCAUGUCCACUGUUCUCAAGUUGAACAGGUAAAAACAAGCCAGUAUGCACAGUAUCAUGUUGUAUUACACUUCAUCUUCCUUUUUGCAUUGUAAAUAACUUCAAUUGUCUGUCAUAGGUGAUUCACCCUAUUCAUGAUCAGUCUUUCUAUUUAACCUUGGAGCAUAAAAGGAAGCUUAAGGAUGAAUAUGGUCCGUUAAUCUUACACUAAUUAUGGAGACAAUGAUAGCCUUGUUGGUUAUCUGUUAUGUAUUCGUAUUGCUAUUUGAAGGCAUCUAGAUUUAAUAAUCUUGGAUUCAUUUAGGAAUUGAGCCCUGGACCUUUGAGCAAAAGCUUGGCGAGGCUGUCUUUAUCCCAGCAGGAUGCCCCCAUCAAGUUAGAAAUUUGAAGGUAUGCUUCUCUUUUAUUCACAUGACAAGUGGAUUAUUUUGUUAUUUAUAAACUAUUUAUUCUGACCAACUCCAACAGUUCACGCUUGAUUCACUGUUAACUGCAAUUUGACAUUUUUUUUCUCAUGAACAGUCAUGCAUAAAGGUUGCUCUGGACUUUGUGUCUCCUGAGAAUGUCCGUGAGUGCAUUCGAUUAACAGAAGAAUUUCGUGUACUUCCAGAAGAGCACAGGGCUAAGGAAGAUAAGCUAGAGGUUUAGUAAUUCGGUCCUAUGUUUCCCAAUAAAUCCAUACUUGUGCUUUUUCAUGCUUUUGUUAAAUUUGUUUGUUGUUAUGCAUAUUGAAGAUUUUGUUCAAGUUCCUGUAAUGGUUUCUAACUUUAUUGAACAUGAUCCAGGUUAAGAAAAUGGCUCUUCAUGCAUUCAUACAUGUUGUCGAGGAUUUAAAAGCCUAUAAUUUUAAACCAGGGUGAGUUUUUCAUAUCCCUGCAUUUUUUGCUUUUAACCAAGGUGAAUUUAAAUCCGUUCCGGUGCCUUGCAUGGAUGUCCAAUCAUGACUAACUUGUGGUUCUUUUGGAUCUUGAACAUGACCGACAUUAUGGUUCAAUGCUUUGAGCAAUUAAAUGUGUUGCUUUCAAAAAAUCUUGAAAGGAUAUGGCUUUUUAUGGGCACCUUCACUUGUAGCAUACUAGGUCAUUCUACUGGAAAUGGUUACGAAAUCUCAUAACUUAUAAUUCGCUGUGCUGUAUCAGGCCGAAGGCUGAAUCUGAAGAACCUAUAGUAGAAUCUGAAGAUGAAGAGAAACGAAUGAUGGAAACAGAUCCGUCGCAGGAAAUUGGAGACCCAACUGGGUCAGCAUCGCAGGAUUUAAAGUCAUCUCAGCCAUUGCCAACUUCAUCUUCUGAUGCUGAUGGCUAACUGUAGGACAGUUGUUGACCUGAUUUUGAUUUAUCAUUCUGGAAAUGGCAUUUAUGAUAGCCCGCACAGCAGUAUACUGGUGUUUUGUUGUUAAGUAAUCUGGGAUGGACAUAUCCCCUCAAUUGGUUCCUCUUCUUUUGCAGUUUGUAGUCUCAGUCUGUUGUUGUUUUGGCCUAUGCCACAUUUUGCUGUGGGACGACAGAUGUAGAGGCUUUUUGUAGAGCUCCUUAUAUGAAAUUAUCUUGUAAAUUUUGGAUCCACCGGCGGCCAGCCAUUUGCCUUGUGUGUAUGUGUUUAUUAAAGCACAUCGUUUUGGACCGUUCUCAAAUGGAAAAUUGGCUUUGAGUUUAUUUUGAAGUUCUAUUCUGCCAACACUUAUCUAUAAUUUUUGAAGGAUCAAUCUUUUGAUUUGAUGAUAUUCGAUGAGGUGCAAAACUGUAAUGCCCUUUAGUCUCUGCAAGGGGGUGAUGGAAGGUAGCCAUCUCUUAUUCGGUAACGGCGGACUACAGCACCGGACUUAUCCUGUGAGGUACUGACUGUCCGAAGGAUCAGAAAAAACAGAUUUUACUUUCAUUGAUGUAUGUAUUGUGUGAAUAUGCUUCAGUGUUAACCUUCCUGAAGGUGCCUGAGGGUUUUGUAUUGGAAGUGGUUCUGUGUUAAUAUCUCCCUGGUGAGUGUGGUUUUGGGUCCAGGUUGACCUCAAGGGCAUGAAAGUAUGUGUUUUUCUGUUUCUGCUCCAUUCAUUCUAUACAAUGAGGAAGCUGUUGAAGCUAAGACAAUUAUUUAUGUUGUCUAGCUGUCAGGACUGAACUUUGGUCCGCCGUAUUGGUUCGAAUCGAGCGGUAGCGUAUCGGUAUUCAGUAUGCUAAAAAAAUUUCAUACCAUUCUGACAUACUGUUAGUGUGGCACCCCGCACUGGUACAGAGGCAGUGAAUCUUAGUAUGAUAAAGAUAGUUUUUGCCAAACCUUGAGCCUCAGACAAUUGACAUGUUGAGAUGUUUGCACACUCUUCUACAUCUCAGCAAAUUUGCUUUACUGUGAGAGAUUGGUCUUCUAUUAUUUGUGGCUCAGAUAUUGAUUCGUAUUUAAAUUGUUCUCUUCAAAGUAUCAGUCAUCAAAACCCAAAAAACACUUAUGUCUGGUCUGAUGCGAAUUUAUAUUAUCAGCCUAAAGUCAAUAAUAUCAUUUUUGCUUUCUUACUUACUUGAGUUCGAUCUGAUAAUAAUAAACCAACCUGUGAAGAAAUAAUUAGAUUCAGUUUACUGUAUAAUCUGGCAUUUUGAUACUUUAGCCUUCAUUCAUCAGCUAUAAUAUCUAGAAAAAAACUAACAUUUCGAGAUGAGAAAUACUGCACAGCUGAGUCCUGUUGGCUAAAAGAUGCUUUGGUAAUUUGGCAUGCCACUGGCAUUAAAAGAUUGGUGAGAUUUAUCUGAUUUAUGCGAUUAAUGGUCUGAUUAUGUUGUAAAGCAGCAAUUCCAUCAUAUCAGGUUGCAAGGGCUGCUCCCCCUGCCAUUUUUAUCUUGAAAUUAUAGCUUUCCUUCUUGUCUUAAUUUCUACGGUAAUAUACUAACGUAGAGACCUCAUAUUGCUUUAAAGGGAGGAUUCAAAAUAUAUAUUUAUUUUAUCUAUAAGGAAAAUUUAAUUUUAUGUUGAUUUUUUCUUCUUUUUUUUUUGCCCCCACGAUUACCAUUCAGCACUGUUGAUUUUUUUGCGAGUUGGUAUAACCAAACUCUGUUCACUCUGUUCUGUUGAACCUUCCCCGAUCAAAGGAUUUUGGACCGUCUGAUCAGUGUGUUCUUAUGAAAAAUUAAAAAGCAAAUAAACAAAUUAAGAAAAGGAAAGCAAUCCGCUUUUACUUUCCCCUAGCUGUCCUUUUUUACGUUGCACCCUUCGCUCUCCCCUCCUCCUCCUCUUCAACGCAUCGAAGCUUCGGCGGGAAGGCUUCCGGUCGCCUUCUUUUUCUCGUCUUUCGGUACGCCGUGGCCUUUUUUUUCCUCCCCCUUUGCGUCAUCUCUUAUCUCCAAAAUUUGGGCCGACAAUGGAAGAAAAGAAACCCUAACCAUCGCCAUGGAUUUGUAAUCAUUCCCCUCCACUCGAUCGUUGGUUUCCAUGGAAAUGGGAAAGGAGUGGGGGAACGAGAGGUGAUUAGGCUUUCGUUCUGGGCAUGACGUUGGCUUAUCUGGUGCUCGGGUUGCCCCCAUCGGGCCCUGGCCUCGGAAAUGGCGGUCUGAAUGAGAGGCGCAGGGCUUUGGCUUCGCGCGGCGUGGCCUCGCUUGCUUGUAAGGGGAACGGCGGAGUUCACAACGAGGUUGCUCUGGAGGCUAGAUCCCGUACCUUCCGGAGGGAGGACUCCGGGAAGGCGAGGGUGAAGGUGAUGGAGGGGCCGGCCGUGGCGAAUGGCCAGGUUCGAUCGGGAGUUGAGAUUCCCGUCACUUGUUAUCAGGUGAGGACGGUAGUAUAUUUACUUGGAAUAUUAUCCCAUUGCAUGUAAUGAUUUCUUUCCUUUUUUUGGGGGGGGGGGAUGUGAAGAAUUAUGGUAUUGUGUAAUUGAAUUCGAAAUGAGUUUUUGAAUGCCUUUUGAUUUGCUUGAUCCGAAUAUGUGCGUCCAAAAGCAGCUCAGGUCCCGUAAUCACCAUUUCACUUUAUGAUUUACUAGUUGGUUGAAAUCUUCUGCUAUGGUUGAUUCCCCAUGAAGCUCCUUAUGGGUGCUUCAUUGCCAAGAGGAGGCAUUAUUAGUUACCAUUUAAGACCAUACAAACUUUCUGAUGUAUUUCCUUGCACUCUUAAUUUGAUUUGUGAUGUCUUAGAGUAAGAAAUCCCAUUAGAGUUGCAUCUCCUCAGAGACUCUAUUAAAUGAGUGGACCCUGGAAUUCUGAUACUGCAGUUCGUGAGAUUAUUCUGAUUCCUUCUCGUCUGCUUUCUUAGUCUCAUUUCUGCAAAUAGAACCAUGCAAUAAAAUUGCAAUUAACAAAGAAAAUGUACAAGACUACGAAUAAUAAGGGAGGUGAUAAGUUUGGAAUUUGGGGAACAAUUAUGUUAUUAGUUCUUAAACGGGAGAGCUGUUUGAGAAGUGAGCUGAAGUUAUGUGUUUUAGACAAAUAAAGGUGAGGUAUGUGUUAAAGAGAUAAGUGUUGCCUUCGUGAUGUUAGAUGUUGUGAGAUUGGUUACAGGAGAGACUUACAGGUGGUUGGUACAUAGGUUCUAGAUUGGUUACUUAUGAUCAGUGGAAGAAAAUGCUGUAACCAACUCACUUGGUUCAGGCCAUCCCAUCUAAAUUUUCAGGAAAAAAGUAAAAUAAUUUCUAUUUCUAUAUAUGAUUAGCUUACAACUAACAAAUCUAUCUACUAUAUGCAAUGGAAACUCCUGGAGUUGGCCAUGGAAAGGUGGACUCCAAUAGUAAAGCCUCUAGAAUCCUAGAUGAAAAUUACCUAAGGAAAAGAAAGUCUUGCAGGCCCACGUCAUUUUGAGAAAUCCCGCAAUAACUAUCCUCCCCAUGUUCCUGUUGCUUUUUCCCAGCAAGCUCCCACAGCAUCCCUUUUUUAACAAAAAACAUGUGCAAAACACAUGCUGAAUACUAGUAACUAGAUAACAUCGGUUAUAAAUCCUAGAAAAUACUGCUUGUGGAUGCAACACUGCUAAUUCAUCUGUCAAGCAAUCAAAAAAGCUUACCUAGUGCAUAAUUUGUGAAUAUGAGUAUGCUAUCAAAGGAAGGAGAUUACUCUUAAUAAACUCAGCCCUAGAACCCUAAUAUUCUUUUUUAACAUGAGCAACUAAACCCAUGUACUUAUUUAGUACACUAUUUUUACUGGUCCUUUUGCUAAAUUUAUUUGUGGCCAUCCCAAGAAGAUGGUGCACAGUGACCUGUGGUAUGAUCUAUACUGAAUCAUAAUAUCUUUAACACAUUAUCUUCAUUAUCAUGAUGGCAGCCUUCCAAAUGAUUUUGCAGGUUCUUGGCGUACCUGAGCAAGCUGAAAAGGAUGAGAUUGUGAGAGCAGCAAUGGAGCUGAAGAAUUCAGAGAUCGAAGAUGGAUACACAGCAGAUGUCAUUAUUUCCCGGCAGGUAUUUGACUAUGUAUUAAUAUUUCUAUGUUAUACGUUCUCCUUUAUAGGAAAAUUCGAAAACAUCAGACCUGAUGUUUUUCAUUGCUGAUUCGCAGGAUCUCUUGAUGGAUGUGAGGGAUAAACUUCUUUUUGAGCCAGACUAUGCUGGCAAUAUAAAGGAAAAGGUUCCACCAAAAUCUAUUCUUCAUAUUCCUUGGAAUUGGCUGCCCGGUGCCCUUUGCCUUCUACAGGAGGUAUUCUUGCCAAAAUUUGUUGUAUGCAGAUUGUUUUAUUUAAAUCAUCGUGCAAUAUGGUUAAAGAAGAAGGCAAACAUCUGUAGAUCUGAAUAGUUAUGAACUUUUAUUUUCCCUAAGAUACUGAUUUAAUGAUCUUAAUGCUCCUUUUUCAUGCUAACGUGCUGAUGCAUUCAUCGAGAAAAGGGGUAUAAUUUUUCUCACAAUCAUUUAAUAAGUUGAUCAGCUAAACAAUACUAUGUUGAACUAGUGUUAAAAAUAGUAGCUGAGGUAAGAUCCACCAUAUUGGCAAUGUUUCAAAACAUAGCUGCCAAUGUUUUGAAAUGCAUUGCAUAUUGCCGCAUAUAUGCCUGCAUAUAUUUAUGUUGUUCUUUGACGACACCACAUUGUCUAUAUCAUGGUCUGUCGUACCAUCCUGUACCGCUCGAUAUGGGGCGUACUGUACCAUUCCGGAAGAAAACCAAUACAAAGCUUACCUUUAAGUCGGUACAAGCCCCAUAUCUUUCCGUAUCGAUUGCUCCAAGGUGCGUACCGGUUUGUACCAAGGUAAAAAUUGAGAAGAUGGUCAGAGAGUUAUUUCGGUACAAAAAUGUACCGUACUGAUAAGGUACCAAUAUGGUACCCGAUAUCGAGAUUGCGGAGCUUGGUCUAUAUGCAGUAUUAUAUGUUGUCAUACCACAUAUGGACCAAAAGGUUGGCCAACUUAGGAUUGAACGGCCGUAUAUGUAGCAUGCUUAGUAUCAUAUGACUGCAUAUGUGAGCCAAUUAAACAUUCCGGGACUAUAUAUACAACCUACUCUUUUGUGGACCUAUGUAGGUGAAGCAGGUUGAAGCUCCUGAUUAGGUUUGAUAUGGAUUUUAGGUGGGCCUGAUAUGAGUAUUAGUAGUGAUAAAAUGUUGAUUCUGCUAUUGUUAUUGCUAUUGGAUGUUAGAUAUUAAGUAAGGAGCACCAAUUGUUUGUUAUUUUUGUUAUUAAUAUUGCUAUUAUCCAUUUAAAAAUUAUUAUUGUUGUUGUUAUAAUACUUAAUAUUAUAUUUAUUUUAAAAUUGUUAAUAAAGAGCAACCAUAUAUGCACUCGCAUAUGCAGCUCGAAUACCAUAGUUGCUUCUUAGAACACUGAUGGCUGCCUAGGUGGGCUGCAUAGAUGGAGCUGCCUGGGUUGCCCCCUUAACAUUGUGCAUCAUGUUUGAGUAUGAAGAUUUAGAUUGAUUUAUAAAUUAGUAUUACUGUUGCAAGUUAGUAGUUCCCAAUGAUGUACUGUAUUUUAUAUGAUAAGUUAUGUUUCAUUUAUUGUGUCGUAUCUGUCUUUUUAGGUUUAAACACCUACCAAUGCAACUGCUUGAUGCGGAGGCACUAGGCGGCCCCUUGGUUCCCAUUUGCUUGCGAUGGUUUUGUAACAUUGUUUAUUGCCUUGGUUUGUUCAAACUUUGAUUUCUAGAAUUUUGUAUAAGAAAAAUAUAUAAUUGAAAAGCCAUCUUACAGCUGUAAUAGAGAAGCUUAUGGCAUAUCCUCAAUAAUUCCUCUCCAUUCAGUCAGAAAGUCGAAUUAUUAAUUAGUACCAACUUUCUGGUUUAAGCUUUAGCAAAAUUUAGGUUGAGCUUCUAGCUUGGUUGGUCAAAUUUGCUACAACUUUGCCCAUGUUGUAAACUCCAACUUAGCAGUGAGGAAGGAAAUCUGUCAUCUGAAUUGAGAGAGCUGUCACAAUUAUAAGGUUAAUAUUCUUAAGACAUCUAAUUUGUGAUCCACUUAUUUGAAUUUACCAGCCCUCCUAAUUUAGAGAUCUUGGUUUUCUAAUCCAUUUUUAUUGUAUUCCAUGGGAAUGCAUAGAGUUUUCGCAUGCUUUUGGCCAGCUGAAACAGAUCAAGCAGUAACAAAUACUUCCUCAUAGUUAUCCUGGCUUGGGACCUCCAAUUCUUAAAAAAGACAGUUCAAGAUGUACUAACAUGGUUAUCAACACAAUUACACCUAUAUGUAGCGAUGUUUGUGCCUUGUUAUAUGAUUCAAAGCUCGAAUAUAUAUGUUCUGAACCUCUAAGAAGGUUUUCACACUUGAAGCUCGGGACCUCCAAUUCUUAAAAAAGGCAGUUCAAGAUGUACUAACAUGGUUAUCGACACAAUUACACCUAUGUGUAGCGAUGUUGGUGCCCUGUAUAUGAUUCAAAGCUUGAAUAUAUAUGUUCUGAAUCUCUAAGAAGGUUUGCACACUUGAAGCAUUUCUUCAUCGUAAUGACAAUUCAUUUAAUUAUAUGCCAAUUUUGCUUGGAAUAUUAGAAUAUAGAAAGGUCCUAUGUGGAUGUUGCUAUAUGCAUUGAUUCUUAUUCAAGAAAGGCACCCUGUGAGGCAGGAUAUGUAUACUGAUCGAUAUGCAUGGAAUAUAUCUAUCAUCCUGUGUCAAAAUUCAGUUGCCAAAUUCUGAUACUAAUUUGCUACACUAAGGUAUUUAUGUGUUAUAGUUUAAACAAAUUAGAGGUGACAGAGGACUAAUUAUUUAAUACAGGUGGGACAGGAAAAACUGGUAUUGGAUAUUGGCCGAGCAGCUCUGCAACUUCCAGAUGCUAAACCAUAUGUUCAUGAUUUGCUUGUCUCCAUGGCACUAGCUGAAGUAUUGAUAAGUUUUUUUUUUAAUUUAUUUUAAGCAUUGCUUUUUAAUUGUAUUAAUAUUUAUCAUCUCUCUUUCAAUUUUUUUUCCCAAUGUUGGUAUAUUUUUUUGAUGAAGUGCUCAAUUGCAAAGACUGGUUUUGAGAAAAACAAUGUAUCUGAAGGAUUUGAAGCUCUUGCUCGUGCUCAAUACCUAUUGAGGAGCAAAAUUUCUCUAGGAAAAAUGCCACUGCUAUCACAGGCAAACACCUUACAUGUCCAUUUCCAUUCAUCACAUGUUCCUUUAUGAAAUAACUGGAUUUGUUGGGUAUGCUUCUAGAUAGAAGAAUCCUUAGAGGAGCUUGCACCUGCUUGCACAUCGGAGAUAUUAGGCAUGCCUUGCACUCCGGAUAAUGCUGAACGUAGGAGAGGAGCAAUUGCAGCCUUGCGUGAAUUGCUUAGACAGGGUCUUGAUGUGGAAUCUUCAUGUAGAGUUCAAGACUGGUCUUGUUUCUUGAGCCAGGCAAUGAAUAAGCUAAUGGCUACUGAAAUAGUAGAUCUUCUUUCUUGGGACAUCUUGGCUCUUACUCGCAAGAACAAGAAAUCUCUAGAAUCACAGAAUCAGAGAGCUGUAAUUGAUUUUAAUUGUUUUUAUAUGGCGACGAUAGCUCAUAUUGCUCUCGGAUUUUCAACAAGACAAAUUGAUAUGGUAUCCUUUUCUUAGCUAAGACAAUAAUUUUAUAGGUCUCAAUGCAAUGGUCUAACUCUUGGUAAUCUGUGAUGUAGAUCACUAAAGCAAAAAUCAUCUGUGAGUGCUUGAUUGCAUCAGACGGUGUGGAUUUAAAAUUUGAGGAAGCCUUCUGCUCAUUUCUUCUUGGGCAGGUAAAUUUUUUUGAGGGGCAUUUGUAUUAUAUUGCAUUUAGAUAUGUACAAAACUAACUAUUGGUGCUCAGGGUGAUGCGACAGCAGCUGUUGGAAAACUUCGCCAGCUUGAAGUUAAUGGAAAUUCUACUUUACAGACUUUUGAUCCAUCUACAAUAAGACAAGACAAAAUCAAGGGCACUGUUAACCAGUCGUUGGUAUGUCAUGUUGCACAUUAUUUCUUUUUGGUAGGAACAGGUUAGGAAGCCUUUGGAUUAGUCUUGCAGCUGGUUUAUUCUGACAAUUUGUUAUGUUUUCUUUCUAUAUUUUCCAUCAAAGUGUUAGCCAUUGAAGAUCUGAGUGCUGAUUGGCGUUCUUGACGGUUCAGCAUGUUUCUGCCCCCCCCCCUCCUUUUCCCUUCUUUUUGUCCUCUUUUUGUCUAAAAAUACAAACAAAUGUUGAAGGUGUCGAUUUAUUAGACUCAAGUGUCAAUCGAUCCGAGGAGAUUGUGGACUCUUUUCUCUCAAGUGAUAUUGAAAUUUAUGCAUUAAACAGCUAUUUUCUUUUUGAUUACAAGGGAAAGUGUAGAGGUAUUAGAAUGACUAUGCUCAUGUCUUCAUAGAAUGAAUUUUGAAAGUGAAAAUAGUUGAUCCCGGGCACCGAAAAAUAGAAGAGAUAAUGGGAGUAACUAAUAAAGAAAUACAGAUAUAUAUAGUCUUUCAGCUUGUUUUCUCAUGUCAAUAAAAAUAUAGUAUAAGUUCACUUAAAAACCUUGCAUUCACUACAUUACAUUCAUUGAGACAGCUUUCCAUGCUGGUGAUCUUAGUCCCUUUUUCCCUUUAAGUGGAAUAUCAAUUUAUUUAGGCGGUGCUGCUUCUGGUACAUGGCCUCUAUAAAGCCGUAUACUGUAUCAUUUAUGUCUAUUCCACUUAGAUUGCUAAAAUUCAUCUACGUCCUUUUGUUUUAGAAACUGAUUUCCUGAUUCUGGUGAUAUAUUUAUAGAACACUUGGGUCUUUGUCUUCUCAGUCAAUUUGAGAUCCUAUUUCACAGCGAGAGAGAGAGAGAGAGAGAGAGAGAGAGAGAGAGAGAGAGAGAGAGAGUAGNNNNNNNNNNNNNNNNNNNNGAGAGAGAGAGAGAGUUGCGAAGGAAGAAUAUUGUAAGUAAGGCUAAUCCUUGUCAAUUCUGUCUUCUCCAGUCUGUCUAUGUGUUUCAUGUCAGCGUAAGAUACCUUCAGAGAUGAUUGAGGAGAUUGUACUGGAAUUUGACUUCAAAAAAACCCUGCCAUCAAAGAAUUGUUGAGUUCCUAUCAAUAGAGAAUAGAAAAGAAAGCUGCUAAGUAGGCUUGGUAAAUUGCCCGAACUAAGUGGGGCAUGUUGUUGACAUGAAAUGGUCAUUAGCAUAAUGUUAUUGUUGUAGUAUGUGCAGUAAGGGAGGGGGUGGGCAUCCUUCAAGACAAAUUGUAGUUUUCACCUCUCAAUUUUGGAAUAAAAGAUAUCCAACAUCCAGUCAUAAAAAAGUAAGAAUACACAAGCUAAGAAGAGCACUCUGUGCCUGAGCUUUGAUUCACAUAUAAGUACCCAUAGUUGCAAAUACCGCACUUUUGUUCGAAAAAUCUAAUGCUUCAAAAAGUUUUUCAUAUGUUUCUGUCAGAUGUCUGAUCUAAUGCUUCAAAAAAUUUCUGGUUACAACUCUCGCAACAUAUUUCAUAUUGUUGACUUUCAGUUGGCAUGUGCCAAUUUCUUGAGUUCUAUUAGAACCGUCAACAACUGUAAGGGCUUUCACUAAUGGCUCGAAUAGUGAAAUGACACUCUUAUCCCUCAGCUUGAGAUGCUAAUUCAAUGCUUUCAGCUACAAUCCCGCUUUCCAUGCCCGAUACUUUGAAUGCUCAAAUAUGUAUACCUACUGAUUAUUCAUAUACCAACUGAUUAUUUUGAAUGCUUUCAGUAGUGGCUCAAGUGAUGAAAUGACUCUCAUCCCUUGGCUUGGGAUGCUCAUUCAACACUUCAGCUACAAUCCUCUGAGUUCCCAAUAUUUUGAAUGCUUACAAACGCAUAUGUGCCGUUUAGUUUUGAAGAUCUGGUAGAAUGUGUAUGCAAAUAUGCUGUGAGAACACUAAUACACAAUUUUACAUUUUUAGAAGACAAUAACUUCUUUGAGCACGAAACUAUAUUUCGCUCCUAAGAUUAAUAGCAUAGAGGGCACAUUAAGUUGUUCAUUUUGUAUUGAAAGAUCCACGAGUCAUAUAAUAUGAUUUAAGCAACAAUAAAUUGAAUGUCACAUGCAUUUCAUUAAGGUAAUAUUUUAUGACUGAACCCACCAUACAUAUAUGCAUGCACACAUAUGUACAUACAUACAUACUUACUUACAAUAAAUUGAAUGUUUACUGGACAGUCGGACAGACAAAUUUGCACAUAUGCAAUUAUAAAAUGAUAUACAUGGUAUAAUAACUUCUUAGGUGCUCAGUCACAUGUCAUAAAUGCAUUCUCCUUUGUUGCCCCUGCUAUUUCUCCCUCACCUGCCUCCAUUCACCUUUUCUGAGAUGUGAGAAACUUGUAAGCGAUGUGGUUAGGAAAUACAGAUUGUCUAUUGUCUUUGUGUUCAAGAAAUUAUCCCUCUAGACGCCCUUUAUCUUACAUGAAAUAUGUUUUUUUUAGUGAGUAAUUACAUACCAAAACAAAAUUAUCAUAUUUUAAUUGAUGAACCAUGACUGACUUUACAAUUCUGUUUUGCAAAGUUGUUCUUGGGUAGUUAUUCUCUUUUCUUGGUGCUGCUUACUUCAUUGUUGUUUUCUUACUGGUUGUAAAUUGUCAUAAUAUGUUUUAUGUAAGUCUGCUUGUUGUUAAGUUUCCUUUUUAAUAAAGGAUAAACAAAUAAUCUGAUGUCAAUUCUAAACUUUAGUGGUUGCAGCAAUACCUUCAAAAAUUAAAAAAACAAAAGAAAAACUCUCUCAUUUCAUCACAAAUUGUGAUUUUCAUCAUUGCAAUUCAGCAAUUGCUACACAGUUUCAUUUUGACUAUGAACUCAUCACACUGGGAAGUUAUAGAAAACCUAAGUUUACCUUCAUUGCUGUCCAAGACAAAAGGUGCAAUUUGAGCAGGUGGAUAACCUAGAUUCUUGUUGUGAACAUAAGCUAUUACUGAUCAGAGAACUUCCCUUAAGAUUGAAAUUGUCUUAUGCCAGACGACCUGCUGAAAUUUACCAGGAAACGUGGCUGAAGGAUGCUGUUCUUUGUCUGUUUCCUGAUACACGAGAUUGCUCUCCAUUAUUGGUUAGUACUGUACUGGAUGGAUAAUGUAACAAAGUAUGGCUCUUUGGAUUGGGAAUGUUCUAAAUCUUAUUUAUUGAUCUUAGGCCAAUUUUUUUGGGGGCCCAAAGCAGAUUCUAAGAGUUGGCAAGCAAAAAAUUGGAAACAUGAAAAGGGUCCCUUCUACUAGUUGUCGACCACCAUCCUUUGUUCUUUUUCCUGACCGUGGAGCAUCUGCAGAGCAAAAGGCACAUAUUAAUUCAACUAGACAUCUGGGUGAAGCUGUCAAGCAACUUGCACCGGCGGACCUUCAGAGCCAAACAGCUUUAGUUAAGGCUCCUGGUAGCACUAGUGGCCCAUGUUUUCAGCUGAAGAGAAACCUUGGAAUAAAUCAUACAGAAAGUUCGAAAGACUGGUAUUUGGCAGGAGACAUAGCAGGGAAAGUUGCAUGUACUACUCUUGCGUGUUGUUUUCUACUCGGUGCCUUUAAGCUCUUAAAUAUGCAAUUUAUUCACGCUAGGUUUUCACACAAAUGGCACUCUGCUCACCCAAUGAGCAAAGAAACCCUUGCCUGGACCACGAGUCAACAUUCAGGCUUAGAAAGUGCUUCUGGCUUUAUUGAUGGAAAUAUUUGGGGCCAGCUUAGGAACCUGUUGAUGCCAUUCAGGAGACACCUUAAGCAUCAAACAGAUGCAGGAACUUCGCAAAAUUCAUGGCCCACUGAUGAUCUCUCACCUCUACCUGCUCUUGCUGGUAAUAUGCUACAAACGGAACAGAUGACUGCAGAAGAAGCCGAAGCCCUGGUGAAGCAAUGGCAAGACAUCAAAGCAGUCGCAUUGGGUCCAAGCUAUCAAAUACAAGCACUCUCAGAGAUUCUUGCUGAGUCUAUGCUUUCAAAGGUGAAUGCAUGUUUAUAUUUGUUUUUUGUCUGGUUUAUUGUAACUUCUUGUUCUUUUGCAUCCUUCAUUGUUCCUCUUUUGAUGGACAGUGGCAAGAUUUAGCCCAUUCAGCAAAAGCUAGGUCCUGUUUUUGGAGAUUUGUUUUACUACAUCUGUCUAUCCUAAGGGCUGAGAUAAUAUCAGAUGGAGUUGGUAGUGAGAUUGCUGAAAUUGAGGCUGUGCUAGAAGAAGCUGCUGAGCUUGUUGAUGAGUCUCAGCUGAAAAAACCAAGUUAUUACAGGUAAUUCCUUUCAAUAUAUUUGUGUCAGUCUCAUGCUUGGUAUAAAGUAACUUGGGUUUUCAAUUUUAUUUGGUGAUUGUAUUCUUGCAGUACAUACAAAGUAAAGUAUAUUUUGAAGAGGCAAGAUGAUGAUGGUUCAUGGAGAUUCUGUCGAGGUGGUAUCCAAAAUCAAGUAUGAUUUCCUCAUCAAAAAUUAGUAGGUUACAUGUUUCCAUCCGCCAAAAAUCUCCCUUUCAAUCGGAUUCAGGAUAAUAAAUGAAGAAUGUGUCCUGUUGUCUCAGCUGUCUGAAAAGGACUAAAGAAUUGAACUUGUGGCGUAGUGUUUUCCUGGUGAUUUCAGGCCUACCAUUGGUCUUUGCUGAUCAACUAGCUGUGCUAUUGAAUGGUUAAGAAGCUGCUGGUAUGGUUCCUAAAAAUGAUGAAAUGUAGCAUCUGCAAGAUUUAAUGGUUUGGUCUUUGCUGAUCAACUAGCUGUGUUAUUGAAUGGUUAAGAAGCUGCUGGUAUGGUUCCUAAAAAUGAUGAAAUGUAGCAUCUGCAAGAUUUAAUGGUUUUGAAGCUGUCGGUAUGGCUCAGAUCAGCGAAUCUAAAGUAACCAUGAUGUUCCUGAAUUCUUUCUGUUCUGUGGAUAGCAGUGUCUAAAACACAUGACCAGGGUGUGUUAUUUCUUUCGCUCAGUUGUUGUAUUGAUUGAUGGACUGACCAUUCUCUUGAUCUGACCCAUUCUUUGUUCCUUUUGAGCUAAUCUCAGUGGUUUACCCAAGUUUGCUUCAUAAAAUCCUAUUCACCUGCCGCAUAUUAAUUUUCUACCGUCUUCCAGCUCCAAAGUUUCCUGAUACCUUGGGAGAAAUGUGAGGCAAAUGAAAAAAUAUACAGAAUCCUUGUGUAGGAUUCAUAUGGUGUAUCUGUUGAUAGCUGCAUGUUGUAACCUGUAGUUAUUAGAAACAGUUCUUGAUGCAUCUUAUUCUGGAGAAUAUAUGUACAUUCUUGUUUGAGUUAAAGUAAGUCUCAUAUCCUUUUCAGAUUCUUCAACAGAAUCCGGUGUUUUCUUCAUUGCUCCACUUCCAAAAACAAAAGCAACAAGAAAUGGUAGAUUUGCAUAUACCGUCUUCUCAUUUUCAAAUGAAGAAAAGGAGAAUGAUGAUGUAAAGAAAAGCAGCAUAUAAAGGAGAGAUUUAUUUUUUUUUUGCCUUCAAUUUUUGGUUACAAUGAGAACUGCAUAUCAGGAAGAUGAUUGUUUUGGUGAUUACUAUCAGAUUUUGAUCAUAUCAGUUUGAAUGCUUUUAUACCGUGAGGGUAUAUAGAUAUUUGGCAUUCAUUGUAUGGAACCUUGGAUUGUUAGCGGGUGCAGUCUGGCUUUCUUUGUGGUGAUUCGCUGUGGCCGUGCAUGGUGCUUCCUCACCUUAUGAAUGUUUUGGCAUGUUUAUGCUCGGGCCCCUUCUAGGGUGUGGCCUUUCAACAUAAAUCGAGAAAGGGAAAAUUUUCUUAUAAAAUAUACAGUUUGAUGCCAAACCUUUUGUUUUCUCAAAACAUCAUCAGAUUGACAUCAGAUAAAAGUUCACAUAGCAUUUGACAGUUCUUUUGUUUGCAUCGGUCCAGGCAAUGGUCUCUCAAUUGUUUUGACAUGCCAAGAAGCACAUAAUUUCAAAGGAGAACAGAAGCGCUUCGCUUAUUGCUUGGAGGAAGAAACAAUCACCAACUUCAGAACAACGUAAUUGUAACCCCCCAGGAUUCAAUAAAACUCCGACCGCAUACACUUUAAAGAAAGGCAGACACUGGCAUGGCACAAUCCGAUAAGCCUCAAUUGAAAGUUCGAAACCUUCUUGAGGACAGUCUUUUUCCAAGUCUUAUCUUCCUAAACAAUUCCAUCGACACCUUGCUCUCACUCACUCUCUACUGAAAGAAAGCAGGUAUGCUGCAAAGAUGGUUAACGAAUUGCAAUAAGAAAUACAAAAAGAAAAAGGAUUCUUGUUCCCUCAAGAUCCCAUAGCUGACAUCAUAAAAUCAGCAACUGUACAUAGACAAGAAGAUCUAAAUUUCAGACCAAAGUAGUUCCCAUCUCUCCACUGUCUUCCUCCAACCAAUCACACGAAGGGAUGCUCUCAGAAGAGGAUGACUGGUCUUCGACGGAAUCCAUCUCCUCCUCAGGAAUCGUGUCCAAGAUCUUCGACGCCCGGGGCUUCACAACGGCUAUCAGCUGCGGCGGAGCAACCUCGGUGGCAAAUCGGAAGCCUGGAGCUACAGCCAUUUUUCGAAUCAAAGGUGGUAGAAAUGAAUCACAGAAGAGGAGGCGAAGCUCGUAGCAAUUCGAGAGAGCCGAGUGGAGAAGACGCACAAGAGCAAGGACUGGAGCUCAGCUUGGAGUGGAUAACUCUGGCCACCAAGAGAGUCCUUUUAUAAGCCACCGCUGAAAGGGUCCCUGUGACUCCCAUACAUGUACAGGAUUUUGCAUGAACAUUGAUCUGGAUCGUUCAAUCAUCAGAUCCAAUGGGAUGACAUAUGAUCGUCAUGGACAGUGCUUAUACAUAUCUUGCAGGUGUGGAGGAUGGACACGGAACCGUGCAGGCCACGUUGACCGCAUGGGUCUUUAACGCGUUCUGGUGGGAGAUGGGAAGGCGCUCGCGAAAUGGAUCGCCUUUAUGAGGCCGCGUCUGAUAUUUUAGUUGGCUCGUGGGAGCUUCGUCGUGGUAUCUUGGCUUGCUUGCUUUAUUGGUAGGUUAGGUGUCCUUUUCAUUUGUCUUUACUUUAGAGUUUGGACACUGUUUUGGUGGCUAGAAAUCACAUGACUUGGUACAAUGAUUCCCACGGUUACAUCAAAUAAUUAAAUUAGGUUUCCUUCUUUUUGAGUAAAAGAUUAGAUUUCUUUCGGAGGGUGGGAAAUUAAUUAUCCCAAAUACGGAUAAUAUGUGCGGUCCGGUGUUGGACCGAAACCUAAGAAAAAGUUUCUGUUGACCGGUGGUUUAACUUCCGGUCCUUUACGAUUUUAGAAUUAUAUUUAGAGACGAAAAUACUCUUUACUCCUCCCAAAUACAUUUGAAGCAUAUCUUAAAUGAAUGAUAAAUUUAUACUCUUUCAACAGUCAUGCAGAACUGCUGUAGAAUACGGCAAUGGGCUCGGUAGCACAUUGAGACUGCAUCAUGAAUUCUUCCCCCCCUCAUUAUUUGUGUGGUGAUUAGUUUGCAAGGAAGAGAACAGGAAGAGACAGAGUAACUCCGUAAGACAAGGAAGAUAGAGUUUUGAUUUAGUAGUCUAAAGCUACAAGCUCAAAGCACAUCAAAGGAACUUCUUCCUGUAACUUGCACUCUCUGUAAAUACCAAUUUUUUUAAUAAAGGUUUUGGGUGGCUUUUGCCUCCCUUAAUAUAAAAAAAAAAGAAAAAAGAAAACCAAAUGAACAGAAGAUAUAGAAUGGUUACAAGAAAAUUUAAAUUGUUUCCUUGCUUAGCUUGUAUAUGUUUAGGCACUUUCAUCAUUUUUUUUCUUUUUUUUCCCCGUUUUUUAUGUGUAGCCGUUGCAACUCUCAGCCUCUCACCACUGACUCUCCCCGAGCCUAGGAUUUAAUACUGGCAGUUAAGAACUUUUAUUUGGUUGUCUGAAAGAAAUAAUCACAAAAAUUCUCCUUCACCUCGGACCUCCUAUGAUGAACUAAAAUGCCUUUAGUGUAGUCUACUUGCUUUCAGGCCUUUCAAUUUUAAAAAGAGGGGGAAGAGUGAUGCUAAGGUUCUUAUUGUCCUGUUUUCUCAAAGCAUCGGCAAGCCAUUCUGGGUACAAAUUCUCUAAUAAGACCUUUGUAUGCUUUGAUCGAGGCAAUGGUCACUUAAUGGACAACGGACGAGUUAAUUUCCCAAUGUAGUGAUCAGAGGUUUGUCAUUCUUUAAAUAGCAGAAGAAUGACUUCAAGUUGCUGAUGUCCAUGAUAAUUAACUGCGCUUAUUUUGCUUCUUCUCCAUGAAGGCUUUGUAGAUAUUCUUCAUGCUUGCAUUAAGUUUCCGAAUUCCUGGCAAUCUUGACAAACCGCAUGAUCUUGGAACAUCAACAAGAUUUAUCAAAAUCCCAUCAUGAUUGAUGACAUUCUUGUCAUGAUUCAACAGGAUCUGGGCAACAUUUGAUAGAUCUUGUUAGAUUGGAUUGGAUAUUGUUGAUUCUCAAAAAUAGCAUGCCUGAUAGAUAUGGUCCAAAAAAGGCUGUACCUCUAAGUUAUUGUUUUUGCUUUAUAAAACAUCUGAGGCAACGUUAGAAGAAUGAAUGGUCACCAGAUUUAGAACGGAUGGUUGUACGUGUACCCGCCACAGAAUUCAAUAAAUGAUCAUGGCAGAUUGAAUUAGAUUGUGUUUCAUUUGCCUCAAGAAGAAUUAGCUUGUGUUUCACAUGCACUAUGACACACUGAUUUUAAUUGCCAUGACACAACCCCAAGGACUUGAUGAGGACACAAACUUUGAUUACAUGAUAAAUCCAUUCUCAAAAACAAUAAUGUCAUUCUUGUUCUCUCUACUACAAACCACCUUUCACUAGAAAUUCAAUGAAAACUUUUUUUUUCAAAGCAAAAUUUGAUGAGCAAAUUGGACGACUCAUGUGGAAAGAAGGAAAAUGCUCAUUCCCAUCAAAAACUCGUAGCCAACAUCAUCGAAAUCAGCAUCUGUGCGUGGACAAGGAGAGCACAAUAUUUCGUCAUUUCUUGAAGCAAAGGCGAGUACAAAUGCACCAAAAAAAAAAGCUCGUUGAAAUUCUAGAGAGAGAGAGAGAGAGAGAAAGGAGAGUAAGAGAAAUUGUAUCCUAUACGGUGUCGUCAUCAUGCAUGCCGCUAAUCAGAACUAUUCGUUUCUGUAGCGAUACAUCGAGAUUAACCGUCGAUGAAUGGAGCUCACAAAAACAAGUAACUGUGAUUGGCAGCAUGCAUAGCUACAUGAUGUACACGAUAAUUUCUUCGAGAGUAGGAUAUAGAGCUAAAAAUUAUUGGAUGAAUCAGCUUCAUCAUGGAGUUGCUAUUACACAUUAAAAUUAAAAAAAUUAAAAAAGAGUGAUGAUAUCCUAGAUAUGAUCCAUCUGAUAUUUUUUUUUUUUGGUCAAAACGGCAAAUUAUAUAGCUCUAAAGUGAGUACAUCCUGCCAGAUCACGAUAAAGUAAAGAGUACAUAUCUGAAGAAAUAUCUCCUACAGAUGUCCAAAGGAACUCCCCAGAGUGUCGUGCGACGAAGGAGGCGACCCAGUCUGCUGCCCUGUUCGCCUCCCAAUAUACGUGGGCUACCUGGAAGCCACCGAACUCCUGAGCUAGUCUCCGAAUCUCUCUAAUGAGGGGAUGACCAUCCCCAUAUCUAUCCACACCUCGGAUCCAAUCAACCACCACAGAGGAAUCCCCCUCCAAUAGCACCCACUCGGCACCAAGGACUCUCUUCGCAAAAGACAAACCCUCCCAUGCAGCUCGAAGCUCAGCCCCAACAACUGAAAGACCCGUCGUGCGCUGCCCCCCUGCUGCCACCAUCCUACAUUCCUACCCCAGGAAUCCCUGAUCACAAAUCCAACCCCUCCAAAUCCACCAUCCAUCAUCAUGCUCCCAUCGAAAUUCACUUUGAGAUGACCAGGGGGUGGGGGCACCCAAGAGACGAGGGCGAACCUGGGCGCUGUAAAAGCGGGUGAAGUGCCCCAGAUGUCCCUAGCCAUCUCACUAGUGAAUACCGCAGAGGCUGCAAUGACCUCCCCAAACUGUAAUAGAGCUCUAUCAACCAUCAUCCUCGAUGAUAUCCUCCGACCCUCAAAAAUGCCAGCAUUCCUGUCCAACCAGAUAUGGUAAGCCAGAUAUGCUCUAAGAAUGCCCUCCUCCCACGAGCUGGGGCUCCGCAUAGAUCCUCUCAAUAAAGAAAUCAAGGCCUGAGCCGACUCCACCGACUGGGGCAAGGGAACCGGCGAUCUACUCCAAAUCUCUCUCGCCCUCGCGCACUGCACAAGAACAUGAUCAAUAGUCUCCUCCACCUCCGUACACACCAUGCACCACUGCGUGAUCCGUACUCCUCGCCGAAUAAGUACGCUUCUGGAAGGUAGGCAACCCCAUGCCACCUUCCAGAUGAACAAAGCCACACGCGGGUGAACCCGCAUCCUCCAAAUCCAUCCUCCCUCUAUCUGCCGUCCGGACUCCCUCCUAAAUAGGGGAAGAAGAUCCCUAGCUCGGACCCGCGUCCGUCCCGACGGCCUCCACACUAGCCUAUCUGACUCCUCCCGCAAAAGAGCCGGUAAAGCCAGAAUCACCUCUGCCAGCUGCUCUCCAAAAGUCUCCCGAACCAGGCCCUCCCUCCACUGACCCCCAGCAUGGUCAAAUAAAUCACAGACUCUGCAUCCAUCCAAUCUCGCCGAGUCCACCAGAGUCGGCAGAAGACUGAUCGGCUGCUCAGUCACCCAUCUGUCCGCCAGAACAUCGAUCGACCGUCCAUCCCCAAUAGACCAUGUAAUCUCCGGAAGCACCUGCACGGCUCUGGCACACAUCUCCCUCCAGACCGGCGAAUGGUGCCGUCCUGCCCGUAUCCCCGGAACUAGGGCCCCAUAUUUGGCCCUCAUCAAUGAGGACCACAAACAGUCAGGCUCUAGCAUGAAUCUAGCUGCAUGACGUGCCGCUAACGCCUCCCGCCUCACCACCAUGGACUGCAAUCCCAAUCCUCCAACCCUGGUCGGCUGGCACACCACCUCCCAUGCAACCAGGUGUAUACCGCCUCUGCCACCACUCCCCCCCCAGAUGAAGUCCCUAAAGAGCUGCUCAAUAGUCCUCAGGACCUCCAUAGGGAUAAGAGAGUUAGAGAGGAAGUAAGUCGGAAUCGCCGAGAGAACUGACCGAACCAAGGUGAUCCUCCCCAUCAUCGACAGUGUGAGUCUCUGCCAGCCCUCCAGUCUCUGUCUGAUACUAAGCUCCAAAAAGGUAAGGUCCCUACUGCGAAGCCGCUGCCCUGAGAUCGGAAUCCCCAAGUAUGUCAAUAUGCCCACCUGCUCCCCCACCCCCAAAAUCUCCAGAAUGGAAUGCUUCGCUGCCACUCUCGUCUUCGGACUGAAACAUAUUGCUGAUUUGGACAAAUUAACACACUGCCCUGACACUGCACAGUAGACACGCAGAAUCCUACAGAUGACCUGCGCGGCCUGCGGAGUCGACCGAGCCAACAAUAAACAAUCAUCAGCAAAAAGAAUAUGAGAGAUCGACACUGCCCCCUUUGCCGGCCUAUAGGCCUCUAACUCCUGUGUGGAUGUAGCAUGUCUAAGAAGCCUGGAGAGCGCAUCUGCGCACACCGUGAGAGCAAAGGAGAAAGAGGGCAACCCUGGCACAACCCUCGACUAGACUCAAAGAAGCGGGAUGGAGUGCCGUUCACCAGGAUGGCGAAGGAGGGACACCGCACACAACCCAUCACCCAACUAAUCCAGAUCUCGGGAAACCCAAACCCCUGCAAAGACUGCUGCAAAAAAUCCCAUCUCAUCCUGUCAUACGCCCGCUCCAUGUCAAGCUUAAUCCCCAUCAGGCUCCUCCUCAUCGGGGCCCUACGAAGAUCAAACAUAAACUCCUGGGCAAUAAGCACAUUAUCUGUAAUACUCCGCCCACCCAAGAAAGCUCCCUGCUCCAGACUGAUCAGCCUCGGAAGAAUGUCCCUCAAUCUGACUGCAAGUAUCUUCGUCGUAGCCUUGUACAAAGUCGAGCACAAACUAAUCGGCCGAAAAUGCCCCGGCUCAGUAGCAUCCUGUCGUUUAGGUAUCAGUGUGAUAAAUGUCCUCUGCCAANNNNNNNNNNNNNNNNNNNNNNNNNNNNNNNNNNNNNNNNNNNNNNNNNNNNNNNNNNNNNNNNNNNNNNNNNNCCUCCUGAAAAACACCGGAGGAAAACCAUCCGGCCCUGGAGCCUUAUCCCCUUGAAGAGACCAGAUUGACUCCCUGAUCUCCCUCUCUGAUACCGGCCUGAUCAAUGCAGCAGUCUCCUCCUCCGACACCUGGAUCUGAGGCCUCGGGAUAUCCACUAGACUCCCAACCCGUGUCUGCUCUGUCCAUCUAGCUCUGAAGAAACUCUCCAAAAUCCUCUGUAUCGUGUCCGGGUCCUCCAUCAUCUGCCCAUCCUCACCCUUGAUAGCUUUGAUCCUAUUCUGAUGCCUCCUAAUCACUGUAGACUGAUGAAAGAAUCUGGUGUUCCGAUCCCCUUCCUGAAUCCACUGAACCCUUGACUUCUGUCUCCAAAAAAUCUCCUGCUGUCUAAGAAGCGAAUCAUGUAGAGCCAAGUGUGACCUGAGCUCCCCCAACUCUCCCUCCGAUAAGCCUCCACUCUGCACCUCCUGAGACUGUAAACUGGAUAUGACCUCCUCCAAAUCCUCAAUCCUCCUAAAAAUAUUCCCCACCUCCUCACGGUUCCACCUCCUCAACCGUCUAGAGGUCAACUCCAACCUCCGGGAUACACGGUACAUGGCAUCUCCCCUGACGGGCAUACUCCACGCCUCCCUAACCAUCUCCCACGACCGAGGGUAGCAGAGCCAAAGCUUCUCAAAUCUAAACGGGGGGCGAACCGGAAUAAAUGUAUCCAUACUCACUAGUAAUGGACAAUGGUCCGAUGCAAUCCUCGGCAAGUGUCUAACGUGAUAAUCUGGAAAGCACUGAACCCAUCCUGCCGUCGCACAAACUCUAUCCAGUCUCUCCCAAACUCGGGCCUGCCCCUGUUGAUUAUUACACCAGGUAAACCUCGGGCCAGAGUAGCCCAAGUCAACCAAUCCAUUCAAGUCAAGGAAAUCCCGAAAUUCCUUNNNNNNNNNNNNNNNNNNNNNNNNNNNNNNCCCCAUCUUCUCCUGAGAGUUGGUAAUGCAAUUGAAGUCCCCUGCUACUAACAUCGGUUGGCCCUGGCUGAUCAAUAGAGAUGCCUCCUCCCACAAAAUCCUCCUCUCCCUAUAGUCUGUGCUAGCAUACACCGCUGCAAAGACCCAUGGCCUCCGGUUGCCUUCCGAGAUAACCAAGAUUACCUCUUGAGUACACACAUUGAAAAUGUCAAUUCUAUAAUCAUUCUGAGCCCAAGUGACAAUGAUACCUCCUGAUAGACCUUGAGAAUCCACUGCGUAGAAACCCCAUGACCUCGGCACCGCCCUCCUUGCCUUCUCUAAACUUCUGCCAGAUAACCGAGUCUCCAAUAAAACACAAAUGUUCGGGUUGUGCUGAAGCACCAACCUGCGAAAAGCCGGGGCAAAGGAAGGUUUUCCCGCACCACGACAAUUCCAAAGUAGAAUCUUCAUAAAUCACUAGGUGAAUUGGCGCGGCCCAGCUCCCCGGGACCACACCUACAAGAAUCUUCCAAAAUCACCUCACAUGUGCUCACCUCCUCAGUUGUAGGUCCUCCCUUAACAGCAUUCAUCAUCUGGGCCAAAACCAUGUUGUGAGCUUCACUGUUGACCUGUGCCAAAUGGCACGCUGUGGCUCCAGACUCCCCAGCCACCUCAGACCUCCUCUGAUGCCCUUCCUCCUCCAAAGCAGUAAUUGAAUCCCCGGGUCGCCUUGAAACCCCCUCCAUAGCUGUAACAUUAUGGCACUGUGCCAAAUAGCCUGUCACACUGUUCAUCGGUUGAGGGGAUUCAGACGGGAUGAGCACACAGUGGCUGGCACCGACGCUUGCUGCCCCCCAGCCGUUCCAUUCCCCUCCACCACCGAUCCGCCGCUCAAUUCCGACGCCGCCGCCGCAGCCCCCAACUCCGACAAGGAGGCCGCCGCCGAUGCCACCCGGAACAGCCGCGCCUUGCCCAAAACCUUCACUCCCCCGGUGACCGGUAGUUGACCGGCAUCUCGGCACACCAGCUCCGCCCGGGGAGGUCUACCGCGUGUCGCCGACAGUGGCGGGGGGGAGCUCUUGCUCCUCCGGCGAUUACCCCCCACCUGCCUCCUCAUCGGCCCGGUAGAACCUGGAAAGAGCCCCGCGGAGCGAGCCGGACCCUGUGCCGGAAACUUAGUAGGGCUCCUCGACCGCUUCCUGGGCUGAGGCCCGGUCCGCCCGCGCGCCCCGCAAGUUUGUUUUUGGGCCCCUCAUCGACCCGGCCCGAGAACGGUUUGAGCCCACCCACAUCUGGCCUGGAGCUUGAUUCGGCGCCCAGCUCGGUGCACUCACUGGGUUGACUCAGCCCCCCCCUCCGAUUGUACCCGCUCCGGCCAACGCCACAUCCUUCUCCGGCGUUUUCCUCCGUGCGACCUUUGAGGGUUUCUGCCAGCCCUCAAGGUCUAUCGGAGAGGCAUUUGUAGUCGGCUUGUCACCCUUUGAAACCGGACCUGUGUGCGGAGGUGUCGGAACCGGGUCCUGGCUCACCACCGACUCGUCCGUCACCUUCUUCCUCAUGGCCGGCUUGGCUGGCCGCUGCUGCCAAAUCCUAUUCGUCACCAACCAGGGGCCGAAAACCGGUUGCUCCUCUGGCACUACUUCCUCCACAUCCACUUGCUCCGGGACGACCCCCUCAGCUGGCAUUUUCCCCUUCCGUCGCCUCUUUUCUUCCUCCUCCUCCAUUGUCACUGGGGCGGACAUUCUGCAAUCCACCCCAACAUGACCAACUCUCCCACAGAUGGUGCACGGGGCAGGCAGGUUCUCAUAAACGAACCCCUGCCAGAAACUCGCCUCACUCCCAAACGAUCGGCCCAUAACGAAGGUUCCCGGUUUGAGAGGGGCUGAGCAGUCCACCUCCACCUUCACCCUGGCAUAGCCGAACCGUCGACCCUUUUCCGUGAUGCCGUCCACCGCUAAUGGGUUGCCCGCCGCCGCUGCAAUCCGAAGAAUGGUGGUUGGCUUCCAGUAGUCCAGUGGCAACCCCGGUAACCGGAGCCAGACCACCACUCUACCCACCCCACCCGCACCCGGCACAAAGUUUGGACGCCAACGAUCCACGGCGAGCAGUUGACCGGCUACUGUCCAGGGACCAUUCAGCAGAGCGGCUUCCCGAUCCUGUUCCGUCGCAAACUUCGCCGCCACAUAGCCUUCCAACAGGGGAAAGCAUUCCACAUUGUAAUCCAGUUUCCCCACUCUCCGGAACUCCUUCGCCACCCACUCCGCCGGUACACUCCUCCCCAAGCUUCGCACUAACACUGUCGAGCUCCGCCAAAUUGCCCUGGUCCCCUCCAGCUCCUCCUCCGGGAUCUCCACGACCUCAGUGAAGCGCCUCUGAAGCGAUGCCAGCUCCCGUGCAGAGAUCCGGUGGUUGGUCCAAGCCGGCUGUCUCGACAUCUCCCUCGUCACCUCUGCCCACGACGGGGUCUUCGCGGCACCGCCCGGAAAAGGGUUACCCGAUCCCCCCUCCGUCCCCUGCGAUGACUUCGCCGGUCUUCCUUCACCGGUAGAGGCCAUCUCUCAACCUCCUCCCUUCACACUCACACAACCGUUUGACUGUUUGCGUCUUAGAUCCCGCGCUGGGCCUGUUCUCUCCUCACAGGCUCAGACCCUCUUCGGAUCCCUAUCUACUCUCCGAUAGUUCGACGGCGAUGACCCCCAAGUUUCCGGUGAACGCCGGCGCAUCAACCCACCAUCUCCCUCAGGACCACCCUCAAAAACACCGCCUCCAGCCUCCGCGCGGCCUUCUCUGAUAUUUUUUCGCUCAGCUAGGUUGGUAUGUCCAGCUACAGGGAAGGGUUCAUGCAAGUCUUACACAUGGAAAAAAAAAAUUAUAUAAGCAUAACAGUCGUUGGGUCGUCUUAUUCGAAGGGAUCCCACGAAAAUGUUUCGUGAGCUUCGUGGUUGUGGGGAUGUACACGUAGUUCAUUCGUGGUUUGCUUCCUUGGGGCUUCGGGUGUCGCUUUCAUUUCCUCGUGCCUUCGCCGCUGCUGCCGUGAUUUAGUGGCUGCAAUCAUGAAUUGGUAAAACGUCACCACUCCAAAGAAAAAAAAGCAAAAAACAAAAAUGAUGGAACGGCUUACGCGGAUACUCUCUGCUUUAUUAUAUUUCCUUGUCUCAAAAAAAAUUGAUGGAAAAAUGGAUUAGAGUCAUAUUUUUUAAAAAACCUAAUUAAUAUAGCAUAGCACCCUUCUAAACUUACCACAGAUAUUGCAUUAGAAAUUUUUCUUGUUAUUUGUAGCUCACAUGACAAUUUUGAAUCUCAUGUAAGCCAACCACAUUAUUGCUCUUAUGUUUUAGCUGCAAAAAGAUUGUGAUCUAACUAAAUGCAUAGCAUUAAGAUUGUCCAACCUUCCUUUAGUUUAGUAAUUAAGAAAAAUAUAUCGCCUUUUUGAUGUGGCUCAAAUUAGAUGUGUAGGUAGGCUUUGCUACAAUAUUGGCAUCAAUUGAUUUGAUCGGCAUCUCGAGACCGAAUGCUUGUAAGCUCCUUCAUUGAGAAAAAGCUAGGUUGCGAUGAAAAGAAUUUGCAUUCACCUAGAGCAGGAUAAAAGUUUUGAGCUUGGUUUAAUUGUAUCACAAACCUAGUAUCAUUCCAAGGGUCAACAGGAAGCUGCGUGCUGGAAGCACCUAAAUUAGGAGCAUAAAAGAUUUAUUGCAAAUUAAAAGAAUGAAAGAUGUAUCCUUUCACUUGCAUAAAUUCGCGUAUGAUGUUUUAGCCAUUACAACCCUUCCAUUCUCACCAUUGGUUCUGCUUUUAAGCCUGAGAUUUUCUACCACUUCUUAAGAACUUUUAUUUGAUUUCCUGUGUGAUUUUGUAAAGUCAAUAAUCAUAGAAUUAGCUUUUUAAUUGUAAAGAUCUUAUGAAAACCUAGAGGAUUUCUUUUUUUUAAAAAAACUUCUUUUUAAAAGGUUCUAUAGCUUGCUAUGUUCUACUAUAAUUUUGUGCAAUUGAACAAGCAUUUUCGCAAAACGCAUCUAUUUUACACUCUGUAGAUCUCCCUUGAGCCACUGAGUGAUAUAAAGAACUUUUAUGUCCAGGUAAUUUUGCAAAAGCAUUAAGAAUCAUAAUUUAAAGCACAAAGAGACACAAUGGCUUGGACAAUUGGCUCCAUCCAAAUUUUAAUAACAAAAUUAGCAUGAAAAUAUUUUGCAAAUAUAUAAGAUACAAGUCACUCCUCUGUUCUUGUUUUAAAUAAGACCUCAAAGCAUAAACAUCUUUGGUUCAAACUUCAUAGUUGCUGAAUAUUACUGGAUUAUUGGAGGAUACAACUGAACUUAGUGGAAAUUUCACCCUCGGUCAUCUCUACAAGACCAUUCCAUCAACAAAUAUCUUCUCUUGCUCCCAAAAAACACAUCUCUUUACUAUAUGAAAACAAUACUACUGCUUUAUGAUCAAUGAGCUAUUUGAGAUGACAAAUAUACAGAAGGGAGGGGGUAAACGAUGUCACAAACUUGGCAACUGUACAUAGAGGAAAAGAGAAGUAAUUUCCAUCAAAACUCUCACUUCCUUGCCGUCAUACUCCAAAGGAAUAGGCUUAUAUCGGAUCGACAUCCUCUUCAGGAAUCGUCUCCAAGAUCUUUGAUGGCUUGAACCGCACAAACGAGACCACCUGCGGCGGCGCAACCUCCAUUGCAAACUGGAAGAUGAGAGCUCUCGCCAUGGGAUGCUUGCAGGGACUCGAAGAGUAGCAAAACAUAUGAAAGAGGAGACACUGAAAGUUUCUCAAGGACUGGAGCUUAGAUGAUUGAAUGCCCUUGUGGGACACUGGAAAGAUCAAAGGAGUAUUUAAAGGCAAGCAUUGGAGGAAAUUCGUGAAAGUCUUAUACAUGGAAGAGUGUUUUGUAUGAGAAACGAUCUGGAUCGUUGGAUUGUUG